GGCCCGUUGGCGCAAUGGUAGCGCGUCAGAUUCCAGUCUCGAAUUCGGGAAAUCCUGAAGGCUACCUGUUCGAAUCAGGUACGGGUCA